UCAUACAAGAAACCCAAAUCAAUAAUCAUCCGGCGUAAAGAGUGGCCAUAUGAUAUCCUUAUUGACUAAGAUCAAAACGAAACCAAGCUGUCAUAAGCCAAAGCUCCCCCUAAGCCCACCACCAAAACCAUCUUAGUCCACACGAUCAAUUUAAACCCACGAAAGCCAGGACCCAAACUGGGAUUAGAUACCCCACUAUGCCUGGCCCUAAAUCUAGAUAUCUCCCACACUCACAUUAUCCGCCUGGGAACUACGAGCACAAACGCUUAAAACCCUAAGGACUUGGCGGUGCCCCAAACCCACCUAGAGGAGCCUGUUCUAUAACCGAUAAUCCACGAUUCACCCAACCACCUCUUGCCAAUACAGCCUACAUACCGCCGUCGCCAGCCCACCUCAAUGAAAGAGCAACAGUGAGCUCAACAGUCCACACUAACAAGACAGGUCAAGGUAUAGCCUAUGAGGUGGAAGAAAUGGGCUACAUUUCCUAGCAUAGGACAUACGAAAAAGGGCAUGAAAACUGCCCUUAGAAGGAGGAUUUAGCAGUAAGAUAAGAUCAUAUUUGCUUAUCUUAAACUGGGCCCGGGGCACGUACAUACCGCCCGUCACCCUCUUCAUAAGCCAUCAUACCCACAAACAUAUUACUUAUACGGCUAUUUCAGAUGAGGUAAGUCGUAACAA
rnacentral:rRNA from 1 species